rnacentral:rRNA from 1 species
CAGCCGCCGCGGUAAUACGAGGGGGGCAAGCGUUGUUCGGAUUUAUUGGGCGUAAAGGGUGCGUAGGCGGUUUGGCAAGUCUUGUGUGAAAUCUUCGGGCUCAACCCGAAGCCUGCACGAGAAACUACCGGGCUUGAGUAUUGGAGAGGUGAGUGGAAUUUCCGGUGUAGCGGUGAAAUGCGUAGAUAUCGGAAGGAACACCUGUGGCGAAAGCGGCUCACUGGACAAUAACUGACGCUGAUGCACGAAAGCUAGGGGAGCAAACAGGAUUAGAUACCCCCGUAGUCCCUGUCUCUUAUAA